GACGAACGCUGGCGGCGUGCUUAACACAUGCAAGUCGAACGGAAAGGCCCUGCUUUUGUGGGGUGCUCGAGUGGCGAACGGGUGAGUAACACGUGAGUAACCUGCCCUUGACUUUGGGAUAACUUCAGGAAACUGGGGCUAAUACCGGAUAGGAGCUCCUGCUGCAUGGUGGGGGUUGGAAAGUUUCGGCGGUUGGGGAUGGACUCGCGGCUUAUCAGCUUGUUGGUGGGGUAGUGGCUUACCAAGGCUUUGACGGGUAGCCGGCCUGAGAGGGUGACCGGCCACAUUGGGACUGCGAUACGGCCCAGACUCCUACGGGAGGCAGCAGUGGGGAAUAUUGCACAAUGGGCGGAAGCCUGAUGCAGCAACGCCGCGUGCGGGAUGACGGCCUUCGGGUUGUAAACCGCUUUCGCCUGUGGCGAAGCGUGAGUGACGGUAAUGGGUAAAGAAGCACCGGCUAACUACGUG
rnacentral:rRNA from 1 species